rnacentral:lncRNA from 1 species
CAACAAUGCCACCUACCCUAUCAAUUCUUGCAUGAAGUCUUCCUGUGGCUAUAAACUGAGACAAUUCUCUGAAAAAUAAAAAGGAGAAGAAGUACAGUAACCUCCGCCACAGUAUGGUGAAAGAGAUGUAGUCAUCUUCACUUCGAGAUAUAAAAGUACCUGAAGGAAGCAUAGGAGUAUCUUUUUGAUACUGAAAAUAGAGACGAGACAGUGAGCUCUAAUUAAAGAAAGGAUCUAUGACAAUAAAUAGAUUGGCUGACAAAUAAGACAGAGCAGUGCAGUUGAGUUUUGUUCCUACUGAAAAAUGUUCACUUUUGCUUCAUUUUUCCUUAACAUGGUUUGCUGUGUUUAUCUUCACCUGGGAAUAUUAUGCAGUUAAUUUUAAAGCAAAUAGAAAUUUAUUUGGAUCUACUGAAACAGUGGACAUUCUGCAAUUAAUUAAGGUGAGAAUACAUUACAGUUAACAUUAUUAAUUGCUCACUUACUAAUCUAUUACCACCCUAUAUGUUUGAGCAUUGGUUGUAUUAGUCCUCAUUUGGGAAGUACCUAUACCUGGUCCUAAAGAAAGCAUGAGUGCCUUUUUUCCAUUGGGAACAAAGACAGCAUGCUCAAAAAAGGAUUUAUGACAAUGAACUGAUUGGGAAGCAAUUGGAAAUUAAUUAAUUUGAAAGCGACUGGAACAACUAAUUGUCUGCAGUGGUAUCCCUCCUAGUUUGGUUUGCUCAUCGCACUGGUAGACUUUAGAACGUCAUUUUCUACAGUUAAUUAAGGUUAUACAAUAAAUGAGAGAAUUAAUGUUCAGUUUGGUAAUA